CCAUUUCAUAUAUUUCUUCCCUCUCCUUUCUCACUUAUCUUCUUCAAACCCUCUCUCCCCACACAACCCAAGCCCUCUCCUUCAACCUUCACAAUCUUGCAGCCCAUCAUCUUCUUCUUCUCCAACAUCGUCCACGCCAUUCGUUCGCAGCCCAUCAACCAACGUCAUCUUCGUUCGCAGCCCAAGAUCUGUCGUAGAUCUAGGCGGAGCCAUCGUCGUCGUGCGCAGAUCUUCGUCGGCCCCAUUUGAUUUCUGUGCCGCAGAUCUGGGCAUAUCUUUGUACCCAUCGUCGUAAAUUUUGUUGUUUUUGGGUACAAGGGAGCUGAAUAGGGUGCUAACGGCGGAGACAGGGCUGGAGGCGGCGGCGCAGAAGGUAAUAUACAGAGGAAGAGAAAGGGAAAACGGGGAGUAUUCGGAGGGUUGUGGAGUGGAAAACAGAUCGAAAAUGGAGUUGGUUGAGGAUUUACCCUUUUCUUUUCUCUACUUCUCAAUAAAUAAUGGAGCAUUCAUUAAUUAGUCUACUUCUCAAAAUAACAUGGUGUACUUAAAAUGUAGUUUAACAUUUACCCUUUUCUUUUCUCUACUCAAUAAAUAUUGAAGCAUAUAUGGAGGAGGAUGGGGAGAUAAAUGAAGAAGCUGAAGGAAAGGAUGCAAUGAAGGAUACAUCUCGGGAAGAAAAUUGGAAGGAGUGAUACAGCCUUCCAGAACGAUGUAUGAAACAAAAUCAUUUGCGGCAGAGUGGUUCAUUUAGAUUGGAUGGGAAUAGAAGAGGAACUAGGAUGGUAAUUUCCAUGUAUACUGUCUUUUAGUCAUCUAGACAAUGCUUUGGUUUGAUGUCCCGCAGUAGGAAGUCUCGAAGAUCUGCUUUAUCAUUUAUACAAGGAUUUUGAAGUUCCAGCUGCGGAGAAUGUUCCAAGGAUAUUGCCUAAGAAUGAGGAUCCUAGCUUAGUUAGCAGGAACAAGAGAAUGUUGGGUCAGCUUUUGGGAACAUUAGAGAAAUUCAGGAAGGAAGAAAAGCAACUCUCAGGAACUGAAGCUUUCAUGAGAAGAUCAGAUUCCUUACAAAGAAGCACGAGAAGAAAGCGAAAGAUUGAGGCAACAAGAGUGUGAACAAAGUGCAGAGAAACAAAAGAGAGAUCUGGUUCAAGUUUGACGUGUAAGGUUACAUUUUGAUUCUUGGGGAUUCGGAAAGAAGAUGGGAAGAUUGCAUUGGACAUGUUUUGAGAAGGUUGACAAGUGGAAAAAGUGCGCCCAACACAAAAAGAACUUCAUAACAACAUUAAUAACAAAUACAAGGUAAUAUUUAUAAGAUGCUUAUCUUAAAAGUCUAUUUGUUCUAAAUUUUUGGAUUAGACUCAAUGUUAGAAUGCUAUAACUGUCCUGCAGUUAUGGUAGCAUAGCUUAGUUGUUUAUGACUUCCAUUGAGCGGCUUAUGGUAGUGGAACUUCUUAGGCAUCCUUUGGUAGCUUAUAUUUAUGCAUUAUUUGUCUAAAUGAAUCCGGUUGCACUAUGGUAGUUUAUGGGUUAUUCAUGCAUUGUGGGUUAGGUUAAUUCUUCAUUAUCAUUGUCGAAUCUUUUGUUAUCUCUUGUUUAACCAUUUAUUGUGCUUAUUUGUCAAUUUGAAUCUAAUUCGUCCUUGGAAUCUUGUUUGGAUAAUCUAGGAUUGACUACCUUCAUGUCAAAGAUUGACCCUCGAUAGCAUCUUUUAAUUAGAGAUAAUUUUUUGUAGUUUCAUUUGAUUGAAGGCUUCGAGCUUCUGUAUGGUUGUUUAUAACAAGAACAUGAUAUCUCGACCUUCUUUACAAAUUCCCAUGAAGACUCGAAAUCAAAGAUCUGAGAAUUUAUGUACAAACGUAUAUGUGUGUAGAAAUGUAUUUUAUAGUUUAAAAGUAAGUUCUCGCUCUUUUUUGAUACACCAAUAAAAGUUGUUUGGAUCUAACAAAUUUUGAAUUUUGCUAUGUAACCCUUAUGAGUGGUAAUUUGUUGAUUACCUUGGUUUUGGAGUUAAAUUAUCAUCAAAUUCUUCUUU